rnacentral:lncRNA from 1 species
GGGAGGUUUGGGUAACUCCCUUCUCUCCUCUCGACCUUGCUGGGCGGCCAUGAUCCUUUCCAGCAUCUUAAAUAUUCUGUCCAUAUCUUCCCGAAGCGAAUCAUCCCGGGCUACUUGGUUUCGUGGGGGUCUUCCUCUCCUCAUUUCUCUGCACCUGCAUUUCACAAGGAAGAGUUGAGUAACGAUUUAUCGGUGGGUAUAUCUCUAAGCAUUAUUGUGUAAGGGAUGAGUCUGAGGAACGUGGAUCUGAUACAAAUAGUAACGGCCCUAGAAAUAAAAAAUUCUAAUUAACAUCUCUUACACAAUAACCCAAAAACGUAU